GGCUCAUGACGGUACCUGAAGAAUAAGCACCGGCUAACUACGUGCCAGCAGCCGCGGUAAUACGUAGGGUGCAAGCGUUAAUCGGAAUUACUGGGCGUAAAGCGUGCGCAGGCGGUUUUGUAAGUCUGUUGUGAAAUCCCCGGGCUCAACCUGGGAAUGGCAAUGGAGACUGCAAGGCUAGAGUUUGGCAGAGGGGGGUAGAAUUCCACGUGUAGCAGUGAAAUGCGUAGAUAUGUGGAGGAACACCGAUGGCGAAGGCAGCCCCCUGGGUCAAAACUGACGCUCAUGCACGAAAGCGUGGGGAGCAAACAGGAUUAGAUACCCUGGUAGUCCACGCCCUAAACGAUGUCUACUAGUUGUCGGGUCUUAAUUGACUUGGUAACGCAGCUAACGCGUGAAGUAGACCGCCUGGGGAGUACGGUCGCAAGAUUAAAACUCAAAGGAAUUGACGGGGACCCGCACAAGCGGUGGAUGAUGUGGAUUAAUUCGAUGCAACGCGAAAAACCUUACCUACCCUUGACAUGUACGGAAG
rnacentral:rRNA from 1 species